GUGCUUGCUUCGACAGCACAUAUACUAAAAUUGGAAUGAUACAGAGAUUAGCAUGGCCCCUGCACAAGGAUGACACAUAUAUUUGAGAAGUGUUCCAUACGUUU